rnacentral:rRNA from 1 species
CCUACGGGAGGCAGCAGUGAGGAAUAUUGGUCAAUGGGCGGGAGCCUGAACCAGCCAAGUCGCGUGAGGGAAGACGGUCCUAUGGAUUGUAAACCUCUUUAGGCGGGGAGCAAUGCCGGGCACGCGUGCCCGGAGGGAGAGUACCCGCAGAAUAAGCAUCGGCUAACUCCGUGCCAGCAGCCGCGGUAAUACGGAGGAUGCGAGCGUUAUCCGGAUGUAUUGGGUUGAAAGGGUGCGUAGGCGGAUUUUUAAGUCAGCGGUAAAAUGUCCGGGCUCAACCCGGGCCGGCCGUUGAAACUGGGGAUCUUGAGUGGGCGAGAAGUAUGCGGAAUGCGUGGUGUAGCGGUGGAAUGCAUAGAUAUCACGCAGAACUCCGAUUGCGAAGGCAGCAUACCGGCGCCCGACUGACGCUGAGGCACGAAAGCGUGGGGAUCGAACAGGAUUAGAUACCCCAGUAGUC